GGUGGCUCAGUGGUAGAGUGCUUGCCUUGCAUGCAUGAGGCCCUGGGUUCAAUUUCCCAGCACCA
rnacentral:tRNA from 1 species